rnacentral:rRNA from 1 species
GGAGGCAGCAGUGAGGAAUAUUGGUCAAUGGACGAGAGUCUGAACCAGCCAAGUCGCGUGAGGGAAGACUGCCCUAUGGGUUGUAAACCUCUUUUAUAAGGGAAGAAUAAGUUCUACGUGUAGAAUGAUGCCUGUACCUUAUGAAUAAGCAUCGGCUAACUCCGUGCCAGCAGCCGCGGUAAUACGGAGGAUGCGAGCGUUAUCCGGAUUUAUUGGGUUUAAAGGGUGCGUAGGCGGUUUAUUAAGUUAGUGGUUAAAUAUUUGAGCUAAACUCAAUUGUGCCAUUAAUACUGGUAAACUGGAGUACAGACGAGGUAGGCGGAAUAAGUUAAGUAGCGGUGAAAUGCAUAGAUAUAACUUAGAACUCCGAUAGCGAAGGCAGCUUACCAGACUGUAACUGACGCUGAUGCACGAGAGCGUGGGUAGCGAACAGGAUUAGAUACCCUGGUAGUCCACGCCGUAAACGAUGCUCACUGGUUCUGUGCGAUAUAUUGUACGGGAUUAAGCGAAAGUAUUAAGUGAGCCACCUGGGGAGUACGUCGGCAACGAUGAAACUCAAAGGAAUUGACGGGGGCCCGCACAAGCGGAGGAACAUGUGGUUUAAUUCGAUGAUACGCGAGGAACCUUACCCGGGUUUAAAUGUAUUUUGCAUUUCUUGGAAACAGGAAUUCCCUUCGGGGCUAGAUACAAGGUGCUGCAUGGUUGUCGUCAGCUCGUGCCGUGAGGUGUCGGGUUAAGUCCCAUAACGAGCGCAACCCUUACCGUUAGUUGCUAGCAUGUAAUGAUGAGCACUCUAACGGGACUGCCACCGUAAGGUGAGAGGAAGGCGGGGAUGACGUCAAAUCAGCACGGCCCUUACACCCAGGGCUACACACGUGUUACAAUGGCCGGUACAGAGGGCCGCUACCAGGUGACUGGAUGCCAAUCUCAAAAGCCGGUCGUAGUUCGGAUUGGAGUCUGUAACCCGACUCCAUGAAGUUGGAUUCGCUAGUAAUCGCGCAUCAGCCAUGGCGCGGUGAAUACGUUCCCGGGCCUUGUACACACCGCCCGUCAAGCCAUGGGAGCCGGGGGUACCUGAAGUGCGUAACCGCGAGGAGCGCCCUAGGGUAAAACUGGUGACUGGGGCUAAGUCGUAACAAGGUAGCCGUACCGGAAGGUGCGGCUG